rfam:Listeria floridensis FSL S10-1187 c18, whole genome shotgun sequence.
CCGUGCUAGACGGGGAGAUAGCGGCGCCCUGUAACCCGCAAUCCGCUCUAGCGGGGUUGAAUUCCUCAACUGAGGCUUAUACCUGUCUGGUCAGCCUUUGACACGUGGUGUUGACGAUUUGGUCUUGCGCAAUGGAAGCCUGUGAACCAUGUCAGGUCCGGAAGGAAGCAGCAUUAAGCAGUGCCUUCGAUGUGCCGCGAGGUUGCCGAGUCUGAGCUAACGAUCAGAGUAACGCAGGUGGUUAUAUGUCGAACUGAGGUGCACGG